AUUUUAUUGUAUGAUAAUAUAUUUCACCAAUAUUGUGCAAACACACUGAUUAUCUUUUAAAAUAAUUUCAAAAUGCUGCAGUGCAUAUACAUUUUACACAUAUAUAUUUUUGCAUCCUUAUCUAAUUAUUUUCAUAGGGGAGGUGUCUAAAGAAGGCAUUUCUAAAUAAAGGUGGAAAUAUUUAAAAUGUUGAUAUAUAUUUUCAAAUUGACUUCCUAUUAUAAUAAUUUACACUUCCACUGACAUGAGAGCGCAUUUUCUCAGCUCUCUGAUAACGAUAAGGCUUAUCAUUAUUUUUACAAUAGGAUAAUGCAGAAGUAGAAUCUAAUUAUUUUAAUAGAUUUUCUUUGAUUACUAGUGAGCUUAAGCAUCCAUUUUUAUGCCCAUUGGCCCUUUGGGCUUUUGUAAAUGCAUGCUCUGGCCCAGUCUGCUCCCCUUCCCCCACUGGUGCUGUUAAUCUUUUCCUUUUUGCUUAGUCAGAGUUCUUUUUCAUUUUUCGUCUUUUACAUAGGGUGAGUCUGAUUCAGGCUUUCAUCCUUUCUUGCCUAACAGACUGCAUUUAUAUUUUUAUAUAUAAUAUAUUCUCCAUUGGUCUUUUAACGUCCUUCUCAGAAGUUGGCUCCUUUUCUCUCUCCCUCCCUCCUUCCCUCUCUUUUCUCUUGUCUUCUCUUUUCUCUUUGUUUCUUUCUCUCUUUAUUUCUCUCUCUCCCUCUCUCUCUCCUUUGAUUUUUUUUUUUCCAGUGCAGAAGUUUUUAAUUUUGAACGAGUCGAAUCUAUCAUUCUGGGCCUGGCGCCGCGUCAGCAGAGGGGGCGGGGAGGCGGCGCGGAACUGGGGGAGGGGCCGGGACGGGGAGGAGCGGGCAUAGCCGUUGCAGGAGUUGCUGGGAGUGCGCGCGGUGCGAUCGCUCGGCGGCGGCGGAGGAGGCCCAGAGCGCAGACACUUCUCCCGCGGCCUACAGAGCCUUCUGCCCAUCGGAGGACCAGGAAACCGCAGUCUUCAUCACAGAGUUGCCCAAGGACUCCAAAGUCUCUGGAAAAGAGCAUCAUGGUACUGGGGACAGGAUGGAACACAUCAAUUUCUUUAAUUCAGGAAUGUGAGUUGAAUCUUAAAUAUGUAUAUAAGUGUGUAUGUGUGUGUCUGUAUAACUUUGCUUUUGCCAGCUAAAUGAAGAUCCCCUUCACACCCUCUUAUACUGAGGAACUGCCCUCACACAUUCCUCACAUAGAUGUUUGCCUUUUCCAUGUGCCUUGACCUGGGUUAACCACAUAUCACGUGACCAGAUGCCAUGGGAAAAUUUUCUUAUCCUUCUGGCUUUACUUAUAUCCCUGCUUCCAUUUCUGGAUGUCUUCCUACGCCUAGAUGGCUUGGGCCACUUUGACUAUUUUUUAUUUUUUUAUUAUAUUCACUUAGCCAACAUGCAGUACCUCAUUAGUUUUUGAUGUAUGGUGUUCAACAAUUCAUUAGUUGCAUAUAACACCCAGUGCUCAUCCCAACACAUGCCCUCCUCAAUACCCAUCACCCGGCUACGCCAUCCCCCCACCCCCCUCCCCUCUGAAACCCUCAGUUUGUUUCCCAGAGUCCAUAGUCUCUCAUGGUUUUUCUCCCUCUCUGAUUUCUUCCCAUUAAGUUUUCCCUCCCUUCCCCUAUAGUCCUCUAUGCUAUUCCUUAUGUUCCACAUGUGAAUGAAACCAUAUGAUAAUUGUCUUUCUGCUUUACUUAUUUCACUUAGCAUAGUCCCCUCCAGUUCCGUCCAUGUCGAUGCAAAUAGUGGGUAUUCAUCCUUUCUGAUGGCUGAGUAAUAUUCCAUUGUAUAUAUGAACCACAUCUUUAUCCAUUCGUCUCUUGAAGGGCAUAUCGGCUCCUUCCACAGUAUGGCUAUUGUGGACAUUGCUGCUAUGAACAUUGGGAUGCAUGUGCCCCUUCUUUUCACUAUGUCUCUAUCUUGGGGGUAAAUGCCUAGUAGUGCAAUUGCUAGGUUGUAGGGUACCUCUAUUUUUAAUGUCUUGAAGGACCUCCAUCCUGUUUUCCCGAGUAGCUGUACCAGCUUGCAUUCCCACCAACAGUGUAAGAGGGUUCCCCUUUCUCCACAUCCACCCCAACAUUUGUUGUUUCCUGUCUUGUUAAUUUUACCCAUUCUGACUGGUGUAAGGUGGUAUCUCGAUGGGGUUAUGAUUUAUAUUUCCCUGAUGGCUAGUGAUGUUGAACAUUUUUUUCAUGUGUCUGUUAGCCAUUUGUAUGUCUUUGGAGAAGUGUCUGUUCAUGUCUUCUGCCCAUUUUUUGACUUGAUUAUUUGUUUUUUGAGUGUUGAGUUUGAGAUGUUCUUUGUAGAUCUUGAAUACCACCCCUUUAUCUGUAAUGUUGUUUGCAAAUAUCUUCUCCCA
rnacentral:lncRNA from 1 species